UAUCUACUCCCUCUGUUUCCGAAUUACUUGUUUUAGAUUUAUCUAAAUACGGAGGUAUGUAGCACUAAAAUGAGUCUAGAUACAUCCGUAUUUAGACAAAUUCAAGACAAGUAAUUCGGAACGGAGGGAAUAGUGU
rfam:Triticum aestivum genome assembly, contig: Triticum_aestivum_CS42_TGACv1_scaffold_309895_4AS